GGGUAACCUGCCCUUAAGUGGGGGAUAACAUUUGGAAACAGAUGCUAAUACCGCAUAGAUCCAAGAACCGCAUGGUUCUUGGCUGAAAGAUGGCGUAAGCUAUCGCUUUUGGAUGGACCCGCGGCGUAUUAGCUAGUUGGUGAGGUAAUGGCUCACCAAGGCGAUGAUACGUAGCCGAACUGAGAGGUUGAUCGGCCACAUUGGGACUGAGACACGGCCCAAACUCCUACGGGAGGCAGCAGUAGGGAAUCUUCCACAAUGGACGCAAGUCUGAUGGAGCAACGCCGCGUGAGUGAAGAAGGCUUUCGGGUCGUAAAACUCUGUUGUUGGAGAAGAAUGGUCGGCAGAGUAACUGUUGUCGGCGUGACGGUAUCCAACCAGAAAGCCACGGCUAACUACGUGCCAGCAGCCGCGGUAAUACGUAGGUGGCAAGCGUUAUCCGGAUUUAUUGGGCGUAAAGCGAGCGCAGGCGGUUUUUUAAGUCUGAUGUGAAAGCCCUCGGCUUAACCGAGGAAGCGCAUCGGAAACUGGGAAACUUGAGUGCAGAAGAGGACAGUGGAACUCCAUGUGUAGCGGUGAAAUGCGUAGAUAUAUGGAAGAACACCAGUGGCGAAGGCGGCUGUCUGGUCUGUAACUGACGCUGAGGCUCGAAAGCAUGGGUAGCGAACAGGAUUAGAUACCCUGGUAGUCCAUGCCGUAAACGAUGAAUGCUAGGUGUUGGAGGGUUUCCGCCCUUCAGUGCCGCAGCUAACGCAUUAAGCAUUCCGCCUGGGGAGUACGACCGCAAGGUUGAAACUCAAAGGAAUUGACGGG
rnacentral:rRNA from 1 species